rnacentral:rRNA from 1 species
UUGCCCCAGUAACGGCGAGUGAAGCGGCAGCAGCUCAAAUUUGAAAUCUGGGGCCCUCGGCCCCCGAGUUGUAAUUUGGAGAGGCACCUUCUGGGGGGAGCGCCGGCCCAUGUUCCUUGGAACAGGACGUCACAGAGGGUGAGAAUCCCGUGCGAGGCCGGCUGCCUCCUCCCGUGUGAAGGACCUUCGACGAGUCGAGUUGUUUGGGAAUGCAGCUCCAAGUGGGUGGUAAAUUUCAUCUAAAGCUAAAUACCGGCGGGAGACCGAUAGCGCACAAGUAGAGUGAUCGAAAGAUGAAAAGCACUUUGAAAAUAGAGUCAAAAAGUACGUGAAAUUGUUGAAAGGGAAGCGCUUGAGACCAGACUCGGGCCCGGGCUAACAUCGUGCCCCUCGGGGCCGUGCAAUUGCCCGGGGCUGGGCCAGCAUCAGUUGGUGUGGCGGGAUAAAGGCGCGGGCAAUGUGGCUCCCCUCGGGGAGUGUUAUUAGGCCCGCGCUCAAUGCCGCCGACGCCGACUGAGGACCGCGCCUCGGCUAGGAUGCUGGCUUAAUGGCCUUCAGCGACCCGUCUUGAAACACGGACCAAGGAGUCUAACAUCUAUGCGAGUGUUUGGGCGUCAAACCCUUGCGCGUAAUGAAAGUGAGCGGAGGUGGGAACCCCUCGCGGGGCGCACCAUCGACCGAUCCUGAUGUCUUCGGAUGGAUUUGAGUAG